rnacentral:tRNA from 1 species
GGGCGCAUAGCUCAGCUGGUAGAGCGUUUCGUUGACAUCGAAAAGGUCUCAGGUUCAAGUCCUGAUGCGCCCA